rnacentral:tRNA from 2 species
CAAAGGGUAGUUUAUAUAGAAUAACAAUUUUGGGGAUUGGAGGAUGGUUCUUUGU